rnacentral:tRNA from 1 species
UAGUGGGGAGGUGUUUUGGCACGGAAGGUUUUGGUCUUUCAGGAAUUCUAUCAAUAGAAUCUUUACUAU